rnacentral:rRNA from 1 species
UUGCCCUAGUAACGGCGAGUGAAGCGGCAACAGCUCAAAUUUAAAAUCUCGAUCCUCGUGGUCCGAGUUGUAAUUUGUAGAGGAUGCUUUUGGUGCGGUGCCUUCCGAGUUCCCUGGAACGGGACGCCAGAGAGGGUGAGAGCCCCGUACGGUUGGACACCUACCCUAUACGUAGCUCCUUCGACGAGUCGAGUAGUUUGGGAAUGCUGCUCUAAAUGGGAGGUAAAUUUCUUCUAAAGCUAAAUACCGGCCAGAGACCGAUAGCGCACAAGUAGAGUGAUCGAAAGAUGAAAAGCACUUUGAAAAGAGGGUUAAAUAGCACGUGAAAUUGUUGAAAGGGAAGCGUUUGCGACCAGACUUUUUCCAGGCGGAUCAUCCGGUGUUUUCACCGGUGCACUUCGUCUGGUUUAGGCCAGCAUCGGUUUCUUUAGGGGGAUAAAGGCCUGGGGAACGUAGCUCUUUCGGGAGUGUUAUAGCCCCUUGCGUAAUACCUUUGGAGGGACCGAGGACCGCGCUCUGCAAGGAUGCUGGCGUAAUGGUCGUUAACGACCCGUCUUGAAACACGGACCAAGGAGUCGAACAUUUAUGCGAGUGUUUGGGUGUUAAACCCUCACGCGUAAUGAAAGUGAACGGAGGUGAGAGCCCUUACGGGUGCAUCAUCGACCGAUCCUGAUGUCUUCGGAUGGAUUUGAGUAAGAGCAUAACUGUUCGGACCCGAAAGAUGGUGAACUAUGCGUGGAUAGGGUGAAGCCAGAGGAAACUCUGGUGGAGGCUCGCAGCGGUUCUGACGUGCAAAUCGAUCGUCAAAUCUGCGCAUGGGGGCGAAAGACUUAUCGAACCAUUAAACCAGCGGUAAACAAUUUUUUUACUAGGUGGUUAAGAGGCUUCCCGUAAGGGAUGUCUAGGUCAUCGGAAGAGCUUACCCUAGAGCUACCCUGUACCUACCCGGUACUUGGUUACCCUAGAGUGCUGGUCCGGCCGACACCGCUAAAUUGCGGGAACGUCCUACAGAAGGUCACAGGCUACCGCCGGGCGCUGAAAAGCGUACGCCGGCACCGAGAAUAGCGCUCUCGGGUACGGUAAAAACGCCUGUGGUAACGGAUAACCUGCAGCCAACCCCGCUACAGGGGAGAGUU